CGGGGGUGCGGCUGGCUGGGAAGCACCUGCCCCUUUGCCUUCGAAUCCUCUGCAUCCUGGUUGGCCCCCAGUAAAUGUUUCUCUGACCAGACUCUGAGCCUCAUCCCCAGGCACCGGGGCGUCUCAGCUCACAAUGAAGGGAGCAAAGUGUCGCCUUGGAAUCCUACAGAGCCUUUUCCAGGAGGCUGAAAACAAACUGCCGGAGAGUUGCUGCUAGUGGCUCACAGCUGCCCCUUCACCGGAGGGAGGAGAGCUGCCCCACCCCGAAGGCCGCACCAGCUGGGCGAGCUGCGGCCAGUGGCUGGCGGAUGUGGUGGUACAACAGGCACCCCUAGAC